GUGUCAUACUUAUUCUUUUCUCUCAUUCCACCGCCUCUGUUUUGCCAUCAACGAACACACACCGACUCUCUUCAGCAACUGGGGAAAAAAAGAGGAGGGGGGGGUGGAAAGUGGAAACCCUCUGAAGCAGAAAAGAAAUAUGGCAAUACUUUCGUUGUUGUCGUCGUUAGAAGCAGAUACUUCUGCGCUCUUGUCCACCGUGACCGUCGUCUCGGCCACUGCCACAACCUUGUUAUUAAUCUGCAAGUCUCGCCUCAUGCGCCUCUACUCCCACGAAAAGAACCUCAUAAGACUCCAUCAUGAACAACCUAAAAGCAAUUCAACUGGCAAGAUUCUAUUUGUUUCCCAAAUCGGAACCUCAAAAGCCCUAGCUUCGUGCCUCUGCGAUUUGUUCGAGACGUUCGGCGUCGUUAUGGAGCUUGUAGAUGCCAGGGAUUACGUGCCCGAAGCCCUACCCAAGGAGAACCUUGUCGUCCUCGUUGCUUCAACUUCGGAAGUUUGGAACCAAUUUCUCGGACAAAAUUUCAUCUUCACUGACAACCGUCCUCUCGGAGCAAAGCUGUUCGCCCGUUGGAUCAUCAAUUACGCGAAGGGCUGUAAGUUUGGAUCCUUAGUUGUGAAUGCUUACAGUUUCAGUGCGUUUGUCGCCGGCAAAGGGGCUUCUGAAGAUGACACGAAUUUGAUGGCUAAGGCUGCCAAUCAUAUUAGGGAUUUAGGGGACACUGUUGAAUUGAACGCGGAUUUUGACCGCUGGUGGGGAAGUGUUGUUGGGGUUUUGCAAGGUGCUGUUUCGGGAGGUGCUGCUGAUACCAUGUGCGGGGAAUAUGAUCCUGAGGAUGUUCGUUCUUCUGAUCCAAAGCUAUCCAUGACGCAGCGCUUAUACCUGUUGGUGGAAAAUUUAGAUCUUGAAAGCAAUCAUGUUGGGAAAUCAACCGUCACGCGCAGGAUGUUAACUAUAACUGAGGCCAACUUUAUUAAGAAUGGCACUGUUGAUCUUGAAGAUGGAGGUCAUGUAACUGCCAAAUGGCCUCUUAGAGAUGGUCUAUUGGUCGAUUAUCCAUUACCAUAUUGUCAAGGAUUUUGUUCUGUCGGUCACAGCUUCUUCUUUGCUGGUGGUAACCUGUCUUUUAUUGAUCCAGAAUUGUGUUUGAAUUUGGAUGAUCAUUACCCCUCAAGGAUGUGGUGCCUCAAGUAUGAGGGUUCUAAUUGGAGUUGGAAGUUUUGUGGAAGCAUGUUCUGCCGCCGAUUAAGACCCUUAGUAGUCCCCUAUGAUGGCAAAUUGUACAUCUUUGGGGGUGGUGGAAGUGCAAAUGGCUGGGUUGAUAUUUAUAGCCUAAAAUCAGGUCUAUGGGAAACAAGGGAAGUGCCCGAAAGUGCUCUCCUCUCAUAUUGCACGGACCCUGACUCUUACUUUCUGUGGGAGGACAGCACCAAGCCUUACAAGAAGACCCACAUUGUAUUGUAUGCUUCUCGUGGGAAACAUCAAGGGCUCGUGUCAUAUGACGUCAAGGCUAACAAUUGGGAAUACCUUGAUUGGAAUUUUCCUCCAGUUCGUGGAUCUUGUCCAAGGAAACUUGUUCGUUUGGGAUGCAGUCAUUAUCUUCUGAUUGUUGACUUCGCUCCAAUGUGGCAUAUUUAUGAUUUAUCUAAGAUGAAUGUUGUGGCAACGGUGGAGGUGCAUGGUUUGGACAAGACCGCACAAGUAAGGGAUAUUUUUUGUUGCCACAACACUAGCGAUGAAAGUUUGAUUUAUAUGUUCAUGGAACCUGGAAAUGUUUUCGAGGGAGAGCCAUUUACUUACUCUGGUUCUGGGGUUGUUUCUUAUGCCAGAGUCAAGCUCCAACUCAAAAACUUUUUCUGCCAAGAUUGAAUCCAAGGGUAAUCUUAACGUUGGUGAAUAUGUAAAUCUUUAUAUGUUUGCUGUUGGAGAUGAAGACCAAUAAUUAAAAUUACGUGCAGAAGAAGAGUUGCAUUAUUCUAAUCUGAUCGUAGUGUGCGUGAGUGAUUGAAUCGGAAUUGUGAUGAAAAGGGGAAAUUCAAGAGCAAGCCCUCUGGUCGCCACCAAUUCUCCACACCGGAAGAUCUCCGUAAGCAUCCCGUGUUCUCACUCUCACCUUCACUCUCAGUGCUCUGAAUCUCUCAAUCUUGCUCUGUCUCCUUCUCAUAUGCCAAUGCAGCAUACAGCCAUAGCAAAUCGUGAAAGCAAAAGAAGCCUUCAUUGAUUAGGUGCAAAUUGCAAAAAACAAAGCAACUGCUGUUGGGAGAUGCUACACUACUAGGCUUAGAGCAUAGUGGGGAAUCUGCAGCUAUAGCUCUAAUGUCUUGCAGUAUGGGGUCAAUUUUCCACAGCUCUCCUCUAGCCUUAACAGCCUCAAUUAGCAUUCCACCUUUUACUGAACCACUGUCAUCCCUGAUUACUGCAACCAUCAUCCCUGUUUUGCUGUGCUCUGAGAACGCUGCAUCUGUGUUGAUCUUGAGGCAUUCUUUGGGCAGUGGCCUCCACUUUACUGAUAGAGGUAGCAUACUUAGCAUGAAAACCUGCAGGUACCUUCUGCAUUUGGGCUAUGAGGUAACAUAUGUGCGGAAUUUCACUGAAGUUGAUGACAAGAUAAUUAAGAGAGCAAAUGAGAUUGGUGACAAUCCGUUGGACUUAAGCAACCGUUUUUGCCAUGAAUAUAAUGUUGAUAUGACUGAUCUUCAGUGUGAGAAACCUUCUCAAGAGCCUCGUGUUUCUGAUCACAUGGACGAGAUAAAGAACAUGAUAAGUCAGGUGUAAUUUUGCUAUUAAGAUUAGUGUCUUUUGCUUUAAUUCGAGUCUUUUAAUCGAAUCAUCCACAAUAGCAUUAAAAUAUUGAGAGUUUUGUGUGCUGUUUUAUAUUAGUUUAUUUCUUUUCUUAAGUGCGUUUGGAAUUGAUACGUUUAUAUGACUGAUGAGUAAAGUAUCAUUUUGGAUACUCUAGUAUAUUUUGUAUUUAAUCAUGUAAGUAUAUUAAAGAAAUAGGAAGAUUUAUUAGACC